CUGCUGGUAAAGGUCAUUACGUAUUACUUUACUUACCGGAGGAAAAGAAACCAACAGGGAUUGCCCUAGUAACGGCGAGUGAAGCGGCAACAGCUCAAAUUUGAAAUCUGGCCCUCGGGUCCGAGUUGUAAUUUGUAGAGGAUGCUUUGGGUGCGGUACCUUCCGAGUUCCCUGGAACGGGACGCCAUAGAGGGUGAGAGCCCCGUCUGGUUGGAUACCAAUCCUCUGUAAAGCUCCUUCGACGAGUCGAGUAGUUUGGGAAUGCUGCUCUAAAUGGGAGGUAUAUGUCUUCUAAAGCUAAAUAUUGGCCAGAGACCGAUAGCGCACAAGUAGAGUGAUCGAAAGAUGAAAAGCACUUUGAAAAGAGAGUUAAAAAGUACGUGAAAUUGUUGAAAGGGAAGCGCUUAUGACCAGACUUGGGCUUGGUUGAUCAUCCUGGGUUUUCCCUGGUGCACUCUUCCAGUUCAGGCCAGCAUCAGUUUGUUUCGGGGGAUAAAGGCUUCGGGAAUGUGGCUCCCUCGGGAGUGUUAUAGCCCGUUGUGUAAUACCCUGGAGUAGACUGAGGUUCGCGCAUCUGCAAGGAUGCUGGCGUAAUGGUCAUCAGCGACCCGUCUUGAAACACGGACCAAGGAGUCGUCUUCGUAUGCGAGUGUUCGGGUGUUAAACCCCUACGCGUAAUGAAAGUGAACGCAGGUGAGAGCUUCGGCGCAUCAUCGACCGAUCCUGAUGUUCUCGGAUGGAUUUGAGUAAGAGCAUACGGGGCCGGACCCGAAAGAAGGUGAACUAUGCCUGUAUAGGGUGAAGCCAGAGGAAACUCUGGUGGAGGCUCGCAGCGGUUCUGACGUGCAAAUCGAUCGUCAAAUAUGGGCAUGGGGGCGAAAGACUAAUCGAACCUUCUAGUAGCUGGUUUCCGCCGAAGUUUCCCUCAGGAUAGGAGUGUUGACCUCAGUUUUAUGAGGUAAAGCGAAUGAUUAGGGACUCGGGGG
rnacentral:rRNA from 1 species